GGCAGCAUGCCAGAGUGGUUAAUGGGUGGGACUUGAAAUCCCAUGGAUUCGUCCGCGCAGGUUCGAACCCUGCUGCUGUCG
rnacentral:tRNA from 3 species